rnacentral:rRNA from 1 species
GCAUUUAUUAGAACAAGACCAAUGGGGUUCUUUACGGGACUCCUAAAUGUGGUGACUCUGGAUAACUGUUGCUAAUCGCAUGGCCUAUGUGCCGGCGAUGAAUCUUUCAAGUGUCUGCCUUAUCAACUGUCGAUGGUAGGUUAUGCGCCUACCAUGGUUGUAACGGGUAACGGGGAAUCAGGGUUCGAUUCCGGAGAGGGAGCCUGAGAAACGGCUACCACAUCCAAGGAAGGCAGCAGGCACGCAAAUUACCCAAUCCCAGAACGGGGAGGUAGUGACGAAAAAUAACAAUACGGGACUCUUAUGAGGCCCCGUAAUUGGAAUGAGAACAAUUUAAAUCCUUUAACGAGGAUCUAUUGGAGGGCAAGUCUGGUGCCAGCAGCCGCGGUAAUUCCAGCUCCAAUAGCGUAUAUUAAAGUUGUUGUGGUUAAAAAGCUCGUAGUUGGAUCUCAGUUCGAGUCAGGCGGUCCACUUGCCAGUGGUUACUGCUUGACUGAACACUUUAUCGAGUUGUCCUAUGGUGCUCUUCACCGAGUGUCAUAGGCGAUCGGUACGUUUACUUUGAAAAAAUUAGAGUGCUCAAAGCAGGCGUAACGCCCGAAUAAUGUUGCAUGGAAUAAUGGAAUAGGACCUUGGUUCUAUUUUGUUGGUCUUCGGAAUCUAAGGUAAUGAUAAGAGGACAGACGG